rnacentral:rRNA from 1 species
UACGUAGGGUGCAAGCGUUGUCCGGAAUUAUUGGGCGUAAAGAGCUCGUAGGCGGUUUGUUGCGUCGGCUGUGAAAUCCCGAGGCUCAACCUCGGGUCUGCAGUCGAUACGAGCAAACUAGAGUGUUGCAGGGGAGACUGGAAUUCCUGGUGUAGCGGUGAAAUGCGCAGAUAUCAGGAGGAACACCGGUGGCGAAGGCGGGGUCUCUGGGCCACUACUGACGCUGGAGAAGCGGAAAAGCAUGGGGGAGCGAAACAGG